UGUAAUUACUCCCUUAAAAUGGGAUUGUCUCGUAGCCACUUGUUGCACCUUUUCAGAGGCAACCCGCAGUCAACGAGAAGUUUCCAAUUACGUUGAUGAAGAGCUGCAAAAAAAUUUAGAACAUGAAGAAAAUGAUCCAGGUGAGACUUUCUUCAAGGAGUAAGUGAGUUCAAUUACCCCAAUUGACAUUGCAGACGCAUACCUCACAGCGUCAUAGAGCUAAAGUAUCUCGCAAUGUCCUCAAACUUUACAAAUUUCAGUAAUCAUCGAUUAUGAAGCGGAAUCGCAUGAAUGAUUUGCACAUUCUCGAUUAAUCCACUUGCAGACAACAGGAUGAAGAGUUCAGAGGAGAACCUCACGAGGCAAGCAGUGAUGAACCUUUUUGAUGCUGAGUAAGAGCUGUAAUGGACAUUGAUUAUAUUAAGUAAUCACUAU
rnacentral:lncRNA from 1 species